CAGUAGCCGCGGUAAUACGUAGGUCCCGAGCGUUGUCCGGAUUUAUUGGGCGUAAAGCGAGCGCAGGCGGUUAGAUAAGUCUGAAGUUAAAGGCUGUGGCUUAACCAUAGUACGCUUUGGAAACUGUUUAACUUGAGUGCAAGAGGGGAGAGUGGAAUUCCAUGUGUAGCGGUGAAAUGCGUAGAUAUAUGGAGGAACACCGGUGGUGAAAGCGGCUCUCUGGCUUGUAACUGACGCUGAGGCUCGAAAGCGUGGGGAGCAAACAGGAUUAGAUACCCCGGUAGUCCCUGUCUCUUAUACA
rnacentral:rRNA from 1 species